CCUCCAACAAAGCUUUCGACCUCAUGCUUAACUUACUAUUAAAGCUCAAGUUCGAGUCAAACUUUCGAAGUUCCUACAAACCAAACAACAAAAAAUAAACCAUCAAUUCGCUUCAAACAUGCUGGAAAUGCGAUUUGUUUUUGUUUACGCACUUUUCUUCUUCUUCAACUUCAAGUCUUCAUCUUCAAGUGCAAAAGUACAAGAGGAAGCAUGGCAUGGAAUGGAUGCGAUCGCGACGCGAUGGAUGGUAAUGGCGUGGCGUCACUUCUGUUCUGUUUUUGUUAUUUUGUUAUCCUACACAAAACAACAGCUUUUAUGUUUCGUCUUUCGUGAUUUGAAAAACGUGCUACUCACGCUUGGUAGUUUUUUGUUUUUGCUUUCUACUCCGAUACCGAUUGAGCAUAAGUUAACGUUAACCCGUUGAUUUGUUGAGCUUGAUAGGUACAUAUACACUUAUACCUAUGUACGUAAGGUUCAUCGAAGGUAUAAAAGUUUUGUAGGUUUGUUUUGUAAUUGUUAUUGUUGUUCUAACGGAUAGUAGUGAAAUUCGCGAUGUUUUCUUUUAAUCGUAGUUUGUUGUUGUUGUUUGUUCGGUAAAUCGCGUUUUAAUUUUGUAGGUAUUGACUCACUUCUCAUCUCACUACUCACUAGCACUUACAUUCGCAUUAACAUUAAGAUUGGCGAGGCGAGGCGAGGCGAUGGCCGUUGUUAUUAUUUACUUUUUGUUUUUGCUUUUGGAUUCGUUGGCUCGGUGGCGUGAGAUUUUGUAUUUUCCGUGUCAAACUUUGAUGCCCAUUUUAUGUUGGUGAGAUGAUAGCUGUACUUGUUCUUACUAUCCACCGCGACCGACCGGACCGAUAUACAGAACAGAUUUGGAUACCUUUGCUUUGGUUAAUGUUAAUGUUUUAGUUUAUCGUAUCGUGGUAAAGUAGAAAACUUGGUCGGUUCGGUCGUUCGCGGUCGGGUUUGAGUUUCUCCAUCAAGUUUUAUUUGCGGUCGGGGAUUUAUUGCGGAACGGAAACCUUGUAGGGAAAAUUGAAAAUAUUUUAGUUUUGUUCUCGUCAUUGAAGCAGAAGCAGUUAGAUAGCAUUUUGCAGUCAGUUUGUAUGGAAACAGAACGGGAUUUUGUAGUUCCAGGUCGAGAUGAUGGAGAGCAACGAACAGUUGGCUAAGGGAUUUUUGAAGGGAAUCAACAAAACUGGCAUAAAAAGGGAAUGGAAUUCCAUAGCUGAACAGCUGAACAGCAAGGGUUCUCCAAUAAGAGAUGAAGAUGGUUGGCAAAAGGUUUCGGCCGCCUUUAAGUUAAAAGUGAAGAAGAAAAUAAUAAACAAUUCAAAAGAAAGAAAAGCAACUGGAGGAAAAUUUAUCUACGCUGGAAGAUUAUGUAGUAAAUUUGCUUACAUACAAACAGUGGUUAAACCCAAACGGAAAUCCAAUUGCCGUAUCCCAGCCCAAUUUACUUCCAAAUACUUUGACGACUACAUCCGGACAUACUACAGGCUACAGAUGCAGAUGCAGAAUUUGAAUCUGACAAAUCAAAUGGAUUUGAGGAUUGUAUUAUCUGCUUUCUUUUUAUAAUUAAUUGUGCUUUUUAAAAACUUCACACUCCCCCUUCUUCUUCAUCAUGACUAUCGCUACUUGUGUUGUAAUACAUUUCUAAACUUAUCAUUUGAAUUACUUAUUUAUUUACCAAUAAUUACA